rnacentral:rRNA from 1 species
AUUGAACGCUGGCGGCAGGCCUAACACAUGCAAGUCGAACGAGUGGCGGACGGGUGAGUAAUGUCUGGGAAACUGCCUGAUUGAGGGGGAUAACUACUGGAAACGGUAGCUAAUACCGCAUACCAUCGGAUGUUCCCAGAUGGGCUUAGCUAGUAGGUGGGGUAACGGCUCACCUCGGAGACGAUCCCUAGCUGGUCUGAGAGGAUGACCAGCCACACUGGAACUGAGACACGGUCCAGACUCCUAAGGGAGGCAGCAGGGGGGAAUAUUGAAAAAUGGGCGCAAGCCUGAUGCAGCCAUGCCGCGUGUAUGAAGAAGGACUUCGGGUUGUAAAGUACUUUCAGCGGGGAGGCGUUACCAGCAGAAGAAGCACCGGCUAACGCCGUGCCAGCCGCCGCGGUAAUAC